rnacentral:rRNA from 1 species
UAGGGAAUCUUCCACAAUGGACGCAAGUCUGAUGGAGCAACGCCGCGUGAGUGAAGAAGGUUUUCGGACCGUAAAGCUCUGUUGUUGGUGAAGAAGGAUAGAGGUAGUAACUGGCCUUUAUUUGACGGUAAUCAACCAGAAAGUCACGGCUAACUACGUGCCAGCAGCCGCGGUAAUCGUAGGUGGCAAGCGUUGUCCGGAUUUAUUGGGCGUAAAGCGAGCGCAGGCGGAAGAAUAAGUCUGAUGUGAAAGCCCUCGGCUUAACCGAGGAAUUGCAUCGGAAACUGUUUUUCUUGAGUGCAGAAGAGGAGAGUAGAACUCCA